GGUAGAGAGGAGGCCGGCGGAUCGCAGUUCCUCCUUCACGGGAUAUACACUGUCAGGCGGCCUGAACCCAGCCUCUCUCCGGCUAUAUAGACCGGACACACCGGGGACACCCGACUCUGAGAGGCAGCUGCCCGCCUGCCCAGGCGGAGGAGCCCAGCAUCAGCGACCCGGCGAUUCCUGCAGAGUGAGCCCAGAUUAAUCAGCCACUCGAUGGGGAGUAACCGUGGAUCACCUGUUCGUGUCGCCUUCCCAGCCUGCAAGAGCCACACAAAGAGUUUUACCACUUCUUCUAUAGAGAUUAUGAAACUGGUAUUAACUGAAUGGCAAUUAUGGAUUUUUAACUCUAAUUCACAGUAAACCAUUAAGCCAUAUGUUUGAAUUAGUACCAAAUACCGUUCUCUCUCGCGCAAGUGUAUUGACAAAGGCAAAACACCUACUUGAAUGCAGUGGAAUAUAAGUAUUAAUUGCAUGAGGAACGUGACGAAAGCUGAACAAAAAAA